CCAUGUAAAUUUUGAUAAAAAAUCAUUAAAUUCAAAAAUGGGGGAAAGUUCCUCAAGCAAUUCCAUACUAGUAGGUACACAACUUCAACAUGUGUGCAAUCUUUCUGUGAAGCGGUACAAAAAAUCCUGAAAUAAAAAAAAUACAUAUAUGAUGCAAAAUGGUACUAUAUAGUAUGAAAUCUUUAAAAUUAGCAAGAACAAUGGUGAACUGAUAAAAAUACAGAUUCAUUUAUAUAAAAAUAAUUUUCAAAAUUCAAAUUGCAUGCAAU
rnacentral:lncRNA from 1 species